CGCAUUUCAUUUUAGAUUGCCAAUGAAUAGGCUAAAUACGCGCGGUUUAGUUUUUCCCUUAAUUGUUUUAUCUAUUCCAAAAUCACAACCCUGAAUAUUUAUUGUUUAAAGAUUUCUCCCAACAACAACAACAAUCAACGACACCUGGUGGCCUGAAAGAAGACCUCACAAUCAAUGUUCUCUUUAGGAAGCCAGGCAGGAAGUACGCCUUUUCGUUUCUCUUCUGGACGAGCAAUAUCAAUAGGAGCAAUAUAUAAUUUAAUUUCCUUUUAUAGAGAUAUCUUUUUUUUUUUCUAUGGCAUAGAUUUCUUCUACACUCUAAUUUGCAAGGUAAAACUGAUGACGCCGAAAAAUUGGUGGAUGAGAUGAGGGAGGAUGAGUUGUUUGCAAUAUUCAUUAUAUGUCUGCUUCGGGAUGUGUUGACGGCAAAGAUUAUGGUUUUUUUUUUUUUUUGCGGGUUGAUUUCGACUCUGUUUAGAGAGGAAGAGGGUUGCGAUUUCUGGGUAGAUUUCGGGUUUGAAGGAGGUUGAAAUUGGUGGAGAUUUUUGGGUUAUUGGUUGCUGCUUCAGGCUGGAUUUUUGGGUUUGUUCAAGUGGUAGGGUUUGGCGCGAUUUGUGGGGUUGUUCAACAUAGAGAGAGGCUGUGAUUGUAGUGGGCUGCUGCAAUUUUGGGCUGGAACCAUGGUGGCUGUUCGGGCACUCUCCUAUUUCUUUCUGUGUCAGAAAACUGUUCGAUAAAAGUCAUUUUGAUGGAGGAUGGUGGAGGUGGCCACUUCCUGGAUGGAUUUGAAUAAGAGAGUAAUGUAGGUGAAAUUGAAGCUAACGAGAAUAGUGGAGGUGGCAAUGUGAGAUCACCCACUUUGAUGCUUGUUAGUAAACUAAUUGAUGGUUAUCUUUCUGAGAUUGCAUCAGAUGCAAAUUUUAGCCUGAUAGAUUCUAUAAUCUUGCAAUUUAACUACCGGAGCAAGCUAGACCCUUUGAUGAUGGCCUUUACCGAGUUGUAGAUGUCUAUCUCAAGGCACAUCCAUGGAUAUCAGAGGCAGAGUGAGAGAAGAUACAUGGAGUAAUCCAUCAUGAACUUGCAAGCCAUCAUCAGUGUGGCUGCUCAGAAAAUUAAGACCAAUUGUACUUCUCGAUAAGAUAUGAGUCCAGUGAGACUAUUAUCCUGCUCUUACACUAUAGAAGAAGCUGGGAUGGUAAAGUACACAGAGCUAAGGUACUUGCUCUUGAAGAAGAAGUCAUCAAUGCAAUGCAGCAAGUCCUUGGGAUAGUUGAAUACAGAAAGAACAUGUGGUAUAGGGUUUUUUCGGGCAUUUUAUAUUUUUUACUGAAGUAUAAUUAUUCUAUUAUUCGUAGAUUCAAAUUUCCAAUAGCUUGACUUGAUUUGAGGGGCUAGUUU